ensembl:lncRNA
UUUUAUUCCAAACCCUGAAAAUUAAGUUUUUAAAAAAACAUUUAGGCAGCCCGAAAAAACGCUUAGGUGGCCAUCCCAAUGAUUUAAAUGGAGGAAAAAACAAAAACAUGCUAAUAUAGUCAGGAUGGGGUAGUGUAGUCAGGAUGGGGUAGUGUAGUCAGGAUGGGGUAGUGUAGUCAGGAUGGGGUAGUGUAGUCAGGAUGAGGUAGUGUAGUCAGGAUGAGGCAGUGUAGUCAGGAUGGGGUAGUGUUGUCAGGAUGGGGUAGUGUAGUCAGGAUGAGGUAGUGUUGUCAGGAUGGGGUAGUGUUGUCAGGAUGGGGUAGUGUAGUCAGGAUGGGAUAGUGAUGUCAGGAUUGGGUAGUGAUGUCAGGAUUGGGUAGUGUAGUAAGGAUGGGGUUGUGUAGUCAGGAUGAGGUAGUGUUGUCAGGAUGGGGUAGUGUUGUCAGGAUGGGGUAGUGUUGUCAGGAUGGGGUAGUGUUGUCAGCAUGGGGUAGUGUAGUCAGGAUGAGGUAGUGUUGUCAGGAUGGGGUAGUGUUGUCAGGAUGGCUUAGUGUAGUCAGGAUGGGAUAGUGAUGUCAGGAUUGGGUAGUGAUGUCAGGAUUGGGUAGUGUAGUAAGGAUGGGGUUGUGUAGUCAGGAUGAGGUAGUGUUGUCAGGAUGGGGUAGUGUUGUCAGGAUGGGGUAGUGUUGUCAGGAUGGGGUAGUGUAGUCCGGAUGGGGUAGUGUAGUCAGGAAGAGGUAGUGUUGUGAGGUUGGGGUAGUGUUGUCAGGAUGGGGUAGUGUUGUCAGGUUGGGGUUGUGUAGUCAGGUUGGGGUAGUGUUGUCAGGACGGGGUAGUGUUGUCAGGACGGGGUAGUGUUGUCAGGAUGGGGUUGUGUAGUCAGGUUGGGGUAGUGUUGUCAGGGCGGGGUAGUGUUGUCAGGUUGGGGUAGUGUUGUCAGGUUGGGGUAGUGUUGUCA